AGAGACUUAGGAUAGCACAAGACCAAGAGCCUUCAAAGCCCUCAGCGGGGGCGAAAAUCCCCCAGUCCCUG
rnacentral:tRNA from 1 species